CCACACGUGGGGCUCUUUCUCCAUCACACUGGGCAGACUCUCUUGGCAGCUGCUCCAAGAAAUCUGCUUGGCUGCCUUCUCUGUGCUGAGCAGGAGUGGCCUUGGCUGUUCUGGCAGUUGUGACCUUGCUGCUGGCAAUGUUUAGCUCAGGGCCUCCUGAAUGUUCCACCUGACUUUUAAGGGAUCACAUCGCAUCAGCUUCACUUAUCUGAUUUCCUUCAGGUGGGCAGCUGGGGGGCCUCAGCAAGGUAAAGGCAUCUGCAGCCUGGCACUCGAAGUCCAGACCCAGUGUGUGUGCAUGUGCAUACGUAAAACUGAAAUAAAGGCUCACAAAGCAAGCUCACCCUUCCUACGGGCAAUGCAUUUGUAUUUUCUCCACUAUUCUAUGCUGUUUUAUGAUGUAUUAUUUUUAUUUUUAUUUUUUAAAUACUGGUUAAGAUCCAAUGAAUGGAUCUUACGAUCUAAUAAUGGGUCUUCACAGUGCAAAAAACAUUGCCCUUGCUGGGUGCAGUGGUGCACACUGUAGUCCAGCUACUCGGGAGGCAAGGUGGGAGGAUGGCUUGAGCCCAGAAGUUUGGGGCUAUAAUGCGCUGUGCCAGUCGGGUGUCUGCACUAAGUUUAGCCCCCAAAUAAUGACCUCUCAGGAGUGCAGAACCCUCAGGUUGCCUAAGGAGGGAUGAAACUGCCCAGGUUGGAAACAGAGAAGUUCAAAAUUCCCAUGCUGAUCAGCAGUGGGAUGGUUCCUGGGAACAGCCACUGCACUCCAGCCUGGACAAUACAGCGAGAACCUGUCUCUAAAAAAAAAAGAAAAGAAAAGAAAAAGAGAAAGAGAAAAACACUAGCUGAUCAAGCUCUUGCAGGCUUUCCCCUCUCACCUUAGGCUAGCUCACUCAUACCCAUCACCCCAGCGUCUCCGCAGAGCCUAGGUGGUACCGCCUUUAAGCCCAUAUGAGGGCCUUUGAACAUCUACCCCAGCUCUUCCUGGGCCAUCUUGUUCUGGUCUCUGCUCCCCUGCUGUCAUCACAGAGAGGCCCUCACUGAUCAUGCACAUGAGCAGCUCUCACUCUCAGCUCCAGGCACUGUCUGUGUCACCUCCUUGCUUACUUCCUGCAGUCCUGCCUUCUGUCUUGCUCACCUUGCACACUGUCUGCAGGUGGUUGAAUAGAGUGCUGGAGGCCUGCCUUCUUGGCUUUGCAGGGCUUGGAUUUGCAAACUGGUCCCCUGGAGCACCUUCCAGGGAGGUCUCCUCCUACCUCUCUCCCUGCAGUAGCCAAGAGGGGAGCAAAGUCUCCCUCCACAGAUGCAUCUGCCUAGCACUUAGGUGCCAGGCGUACUCACUCUACCUGGAUUGGGGGCACCAACCCCGGAGCCUGCCUUCUUCCAUGCCCCCAUGUGGUGUCUUGUACUCCUCUCCCUCCCUGUCCCUCCCUACCCCAGGUGCAGC
rnacentral:lncRNA from 1 species